AGCAGCUGAAUGUCUCAGCCUUGCAUGAGGGCAAGGACAAAUGCCCUGCACUCACCCUUGGCCCGUCUGGUAUUUGAUGAAACUCAUGAAAGUGGGUGAACCUAACUUGCCCCUCUUCUCUAGGAUGCAGUGAAUGCAUAUGUGACUGUGACUUUUCAGAGAAGAAAACUGAGGCUUACAGAAGCUCUGUGUGAUCACAUUUCCACAAUUCACAGUCUGAGAACUUAAGAUCAGCCUACAGGCAGCCCAUUCCAGUCAGCUUGAGUGCCCACCAUUUCUCUUCCUCCAGCCUCUACGUCUGUGUUGAUGCUGUACUGAAUGUCUGUUUCCUGCCUUUCAAUCUCUUAUAAUUCUUCUAUCCUACAAUGCACAUACAUA